AUCUUUCUAAUUGUGUUAAACCCAAGCCAAACGGUACAGUAUUUCCUUGAACCCUCUCUCUCUCUCAUCUUUUCCAUUCAAAGUCGGAUUCCGCACAACGGUUUUUCAUCCUUGAAUACUCAGAAACGAUCAUCAAUUUAGGGUUAGGGGUACAUUAAUCUUUCUAAACUUUCGAGAGAUCGAUUAGGGAUAGGGAUAUGCAUCACUUGUUCUGCUAAAUCAUUAUCAUGGCCCUUCGUACGACUGCCUGAUUUUGUUUGUUUUGUUCAACCUGUAUUCAUUUUAUCUACUGCACAUAUGAGGUUGUAAUACACCCUGCGUUUCACC
rnacentral:lncRNA from 1 species